ACCGGCGCACGGGUGAGUAACACGUAUCCAACCUGCCGUCUACUCUUGGACAGCCUUCUGAAAAGAAGAUUAAUACAAGAUGGCAUCAUGAGUCCGCAUGUUCACAUGAUUAAAGGUAUUCCGGUAGACGAUGGGGAUGCGUUCCAUUAGAUAGUAGGCGGGGUAACGGCCCACCUAGUCUUCGAUGGAUAGGGGUUCUGAGAGGAAGGUCCCCCACAUUGGAACUGAGACACGGUCCAAACUCCUACGGGAGGCAGCAUG
rnacentral:rRNA from 1 species